AACGAACGCUGGCGGCAUGCCUAACACAUGCAAGUCGAACGAGGGCCCCGCUUCGGUGGGACCCUAGUGGCGCACGGGUGAGUAACGCGUGGGAACCUGCCCUGUGGUACGGAAUAACUCCGGGAAACUGGAGCUAAUACCGUAUGUGUCUUGAGGGACAAAGAUUUAUCGCCAUGGGAUGGGCCCGCGUAGGAUUAGCUUGUUGGUGGGGUAACGGCCUACCAAGGCAACGAUCCUUAGCUGGUCUGAGAGGAUGAUCAGCCACACUGGGACUGAGACACGGCCCAGACUCCUACGGGAGGCAGCAGUGGGGAAUAUUGGACAAUGGGCGCAAGCCUGAUCCAGCAAUGCCGCGUGAGUGAUGAAGGCCUUCGGGUUGUAAAGCUCUUUCGCACGCGACGAUGAUGACGGUAGCGUGAGAAGAAGCCCCGGCUAACUUCGUGCCAGCAGCCGCGGUAAUACGAAGGGGGCUAGCGUUGUUCGGAAUUACUGGGCGUAAAGGGCGCGUAGGCGGUACUUCAAGUCAGGCGUGAAAGCCCCGGGCUCAACCUGGGAACCGCGCUUGAGACUGGAGAACUAGAGUUCGGGAGAGGAUGGUGGAAUUCCCAGUGUAGAGGUGAAAUUCGUAGAUAUUGGGAAGAACACCGAUGGCGAAGGCAGCCAUCUGGACCGACACUGACGCUGAGGCGCGAAAGCGUGGGGAGCAAACAG
rnacentral:rRNA from 1 species